GAUCAGAAGCUUAUAGAUGGUUCAUUUGCUAAUACGAAUCGAAAUUGAGUGAAAUUUCUGCAAGAAUGGAACAGUACCACUUGAAAGGACAGUGGAAAACGAUGUGGACACCUCGUGACUCAACAGGCGCUCUAUGGAUUGCAUCAUGUCGUCUGCCAGGCACACGGUCCAGGAAAACAUUGCCCAUGCAAACUCGAGGUACCUUUAGUCAGUACUACGACGAGAUAAAGCGUUCGCUGCCCUUCACAGAGCAAACGACAUUAAUGAAGACAUGAAGUAUAUCUUCGACGCUAAAAAUGACCAAGGACGGCCAUCGGACAGCCUACCAGAGCAGCUUAAUUCGCAUGGAACGGGGGACUGCGAACCUACCAGCGCUCGAGCUUGUCUAGCCGUGGAACUUUACAACAUGUCAGUAGGAUAGCUAAGGAAGAAAUCUACUAUGCGAAUGCUAUUCCCGAUACUGCUUACGAUGGUCGACAGCAGGCUGAGGAAACAACCGAAAAAGGAAAAUGUUCAUAACUCCUUUUGAUUAUUGAUAAUAAACCUAAUAGGAAAAACGUCAACUUGAUCAGAGAAUGUACAGGCCAAUUGAGCUGGAGAUAUGAACAUCUACGCUUUGCUUUUAAACGUUGUAAAGCAGCCGUAUCAGAUACAAAGAGAUUGCCUUAGGCA